GCCUAGUGGCCCGCGGAGGCCCGCCGUUCACCCAGGUGGCCGCAUGGACGGCGGAGAAACCCCAGUUCAGGCCGGGGUCAGGCG
rnacentral:tRNA from 1 species